rnacentral:rRNA from 1 species
AUUGAACGCUGGCGGCAGGCCUAACACAUGCAAGUCGAGCGAGCGGUGGACGUGUGAGGAAUGUAUGGGGAUCUGCCCGAUAGAGGGGGAUAACUACUGGAAACGGUGGCUAAUACAGCAUACUAUCGGAAGAACCCAUAUUGGAUUAGAUAGUAGGUGGGGUAAAGGCUUACCUAGGCGACGAUCUCUAGCUGGUCUGAGAGGAUGAUCAGCCACACGGGGACUGAGACACGGCCCAGACUCCUAAGGGAGGCAGCAUUGGGGAAUAUUGCUCAAUGGGCGCAAGCCUGAUUCAGCCAUGCCGCGUGUAUGAAGAAGGCCUUCGGGUUGUAAAGUCCUUUCAGCGGGGAUGCGUUACCCGCAGAAGAAGCACCGGCUAACUCCGUGCCAGCAGCCGCGGUAAUAC